AUUGAACGCUGGCGGCAGGCCUAACACAUGCAAGUCGAACGAGUGGCGGACGGGUGAGUAAUGUCUGGGACACUGCCUGAUGGAGGGGGAUAACUACUGGACAUGGUAGCUAAUACCGCAUACCAUCGGAUGUUCCCAGAUGGGAUUAGAUAGUAGGUGGGGUAACGGCUCACCUAGGCGACGAUCCCUAGCUGGUCUGAGAGGAUGACCAGCCACACUGGAACUGAGACACGGUCCAGACUCCUACGGGAGGCAGCAGUGGGGAAUAUUGCACAAUGGGCGCAAGCCUGAUGGAGCCAUGCCGCGUGAGUGAAGAAGGCCUUCGGGUUGUAAAGCACUUUCAGCGAGGAGGCGUUACUCGCAGAAGAAGCAACGGCUAACUCCGUGCCAGCAGCCGCGGUAAUUC
rnacentral:rRNA from 1 species